rnacentral:rRNA from 1 species
GACGAACGCUGGCGGCGUGCUUAACACAUGCAAGUCGAACGGAAAGGCCUCUUUCGGGGGGUGCUCGAGUGGCGAACGGGUGAGUAACACGUGAGUAACCUGCCCUUGACUUUGGGAUAACUUCAGGAAACUGGGGCUAAUACCGGAUAGGAGCUCCUGCUGCAUGGUGGGGGUUGGAAAGUUUCGGCGGUUGGGGAUGGACUCGCGGCUUAUCAGCUUGUUGGUGGGGUAGUGGCUUACCAAGGCUUUGACGGGUAGCCGGCCUGAGAGGGUGACCGGCCACAUUGGGACUGAGAUACGGCCCAGACUCCUACGGGAGGCAGCAGUGGGGAAUAUUGCACAAUGGGUGGAAGCCUGAUGCAGCAACGCCGUGUGCGGGAUGACGGCCUUCGGGUUGUAAACCGCUUUCGCUCAUGACGAAGCUUUGUGUGACGGUAGUGGGUAAAGAAGCACCGGCUAACUACGUG